UGCGCAGGCGGACUAAUAAGUCAGUGGUGAAAUCUCUCGGCUCAACCGGGAAACUGCCAUUGAUACUGUUAGUCUUGAGUUCGGUUGAGGUAGGCGGAAUGUGUAAUGUAGCGGUGAAAUGCUUAGAUAUUACACAGAACACCAAUUGCGUAGGCAGCUUACUAGACCGACACUGACGCUGAGGCACGAAAGCGUGGGUAGCGAACAGGAUUAGAUACCCUGGUAGUCC
rnacentral:rRNA from 1 species